GGUUAGCUCAGUUGGUUAGAGCGUGGUGCUAAUAGUUGCCCAAACACUAUAAAAACGCCAAGGUCGCGGGUUCGACCCCCGUACUGACCA